AACGAACGCUGGCGGCAGGCUUAACACAUGCAAGUCGAACGCAUCGCAAGAUGAGUGGCAGACGGGUGAGUAACACGUGGGAACAUACCCUUUGGUGCGGAACAACAGCUGGAAACGGCUGCUAAUACCGCAUGCGCCCUACGGGGAAGGAUUAUCGCCGAAGGAUUGGCCCGCGUCUGAUUAGCUAGUUGGUGAGGUAAUGGCUCACCAAGGCGACGAUCAGUAGCUGGUCUGAGAGGAUGAUCAGCCACACUGGGACUGAGACACGGCCCAGACUCCUACGGGAGGCAGCAGUGGGGAAUAUUGGACAAUGGGCGCAAGCCUGAUCCAGCCAUGCCGCGUGAGUGAUGAAGGCCCUAGGGUUGUAAAGCUCUUUCAGCGAGGAGGAUAAUGACGUUACUCGCAGAAGAAGCCCCGGCUAACUUCGUGCCAGCAGCCCGCGGUAAUUACUGACUCA
rnacentral:rRNA from 1 species